UGCGACCCCAGGUCAGGCGGGAUUACCCGCUGAGUUU
rnacentral:rRNA from 1 species